rnacentral:sRNA from 1 species
UCAAGAACUUUUUGGCCCCAACGGCCAUCC